GCUGGGCAUGGUGGCACAUACCUGUAAUCCCAGCGGCUCAGGAGGCUGAGGCAGGAGGAUCGCAAGUUCAAAGCCAGCCUCAGCAAAAGUGAGGCUCCAUGAGACCCUGUCUUUA
rnacentral:sRNA from 1 species